GAUGAACGCUGGCGGCGUGCCUAAUACAUGCAAGUCGAGCGAACAGACGAGGAGCUUGCUCCUCUGACGUUAGCGGCGGACGGGUGAGUAACACGUGGAUAACCUACCUAUCAGACUGGGAUAACUUCGGGAAACCGGAGCUAAUACCGGAUAAUAUAUUGAACCGCAUGGUUCAAUAGUGAAAGACGGUUUUGCUGUCACUUAUAGAUGGAUCCGCGCCGCAUUAGCUAGUUGGUAGGGUAACGGCUUACCACGGCGACGAUGCGUAGCCGACCGGAGAGGGUGAUCGGCCACACUGGAACUGAGACACGGUCCAGAGUCCUACGGGAGGCAGCAGUAGGGAAUCGGCGGCAAUGGGCGAAAGCCUGACGGAGCAACGCCGCGUGAGUGAUGAAGGUCUUCGGAGCGUAAAACCCUGUUAUUAGGGAAGAACAAAUGUGUAAGUAACUAUGCACGUCUUGACGGUACCUAAUCAGAAAGCCACGGCUAACUACGUG
rnacentral:rRNA from 1 species